AUACCUUUCUCGGCCUUUUUGCUAAGAUCAAGUGUAGUAUCUGUUCUUAUCAGUUUAAUAUCUGAUACGUAAGUCAUUGACCCAUAUGAUAUUAAAUUAAUUUUUCUAGGGGAGGUCCCAUCACAGUAGCUUGCUACUGGGGUCCUCGAGCGUCGCCUAUGCGUUGCACUACAGCAUUGGCCUGGCGCACCCCAC
rnacentral:snRNA from 1 species